CCAACCUCAGGGACCCCAAUGUGAAGGUACUUGAUGCCUCUUGGUCAGAAGAUGAUGGCGAGUUCCUCAUUCCAAUUGAGUUUAUAUUGUGUAGGUUUCUUCGUCAUGAUCUGGAUUGCCGCAGUCGUGUUCAAGUCCAAUGAUAUCUUGCGCAAGCAGACCGCUCUCAAGACUGCUCUCAAGGGCUUGUGCUUAUCUUGUGUAUCAACGUUCUUGUUCUGCUUCUAGCACUGGGUCUGUCCCUUCUAUUGAGGAAGCCGGCUGGCAGACUGUUGCCGUCACUAAAUCCCUAAC